rnacentral:rRNA from 1 species
GGUUGGUUUCUAUCCUAAAUAUAUUUUUUUUUAUAGUACGAAAGGACCUAAAAAAUUAAUUUUAUUAAUUAAUUAGCUUAUUUAAAGCAUGUAUUUUGAAAAUACAAGAUAGAUUAUAAAAAAUUUAUUAAUUUU